UACGUAGGGUGCGAGCGUUGUCCGGAAUUAUUGGGCGUAAAGGGCUCGUAGGCGGUUUGUCGCGUCGGGAGUGAAAACCCAGGGCUUAACCCUGGGCUGGCUUCCGAUACGGGCAGACUAGAGGUAUGCAGGGGAGAACGGAAUUCCUGGUGUAGCGGUGAAAUGCGCAGAUAUCAGGAGGAACACCGGUGGCGAAGGCGGUCCUCUGGGCAUUACCUGACGCUGAGGAGCGAAAGUGUGGGGAGCGAACAGG
rnacentral:rRNA from 1 species